rnacentral:rRNA from 1 species
GAAUUCGCCCUUAGAGUUUGUUCCUGGCUCAGGACGAACGCUGGCGGCGCGCCUAACACAUGCAAGUCGAACGGAAUCAAGAGGAGCUUGCUUUUCUUGAUUUAGUGGCGAACGGGUGAGUAACGCGUGAGUAACCUGCCCUGGAGUGGGGGACAACAGUUGGAAACGACUGCUAAUACCGCAUAAGCCCACGGUGCCGCAUGGCACUGCGGGAAAAGGAUUUAUUCGCUUCAGGAUGGACUCGCGUCCAAUUAGCUAGUUGGUGAGGUAACGGCCCACCAAGGCGACGAUUGGUAGCCGGACUGAGAGGUUGAACGGCCACAUUGGGACUGAGACACGGCCCAGACUCCUACGGGAGGCAGCAGUGGGGGAUAUUGCACAAUGGGGGAAACCCUGAUGCAGCGACGCCGCGUGGAGGAAGAAGGUUUUCGGAUUGUAAACUCCUGUCGUUAGGGACGAUAAUGACGGUACCUAACAAGAAAGCACCGGCUAACUACGUGCCAGCAGCCGCGGUAAAACGUAGGGUGCAAGCGUUGUCCGGAAUUACUGGGUGUAAAGGGAGCGCAGGCGGACCGGCAAGUUGGAAGUGAAAUCCAUGGGCUCAACCCGUGAAUUGCUUUCAAAACUGCUGGCCUUGAGUAGUGCAGAGGUAGGUGGAAUUCCCGGUGUAGCGGUGGAAUGCGUAGAUAUCGGGAGGAACACCAGUGGCGAAGGCGACCUACUGGGCACCAACUGACGCUGAGGCUCGAAAGCAUGGGUAGCAAACAGGAUUAGAUACCCUGGUAGUCCAUGCCGUAAACG